rnacentral:rRNA from 1 species
ACAUGCAAGUCGAACGCGAAAGUCCCGCAAGGGAUAAGUAGAGUGGCAGACGGGUGAGUAAUGCAUAGGUAAUCUACCCUUGAGUGGGGGAUAACUCCGGGAAACCGGUGCUAAUCCCGCAUAACGUCCUGAUGCACAAGCAUUUGGAUCAAAGGGGGGGAUCCUUCGGGACCUCCUGCUUGGGGAUGAGCCUAUGUCCUAUUAGCUAGUUGGUGAGGUAAUGGCCCACCAAGGCUCUGAUGGGUAGCCGAGCUGAGAGGCUGAUCGGCCACACUGGAACUGAAACACGGUCCAGACUCCUACGGGAGGCAGCAGUGGGGAAUUUUGCGCAAUGGGCGAAAGCCUGACGCAGCGACGCCGCGUGAGGGAUGAAGGUCUUCGGAUCGUAAACCUCUGUCAGGAAGCAUUAAAUGUGCGGAUACCAACACCAUCCGUACUUGACUUAACUUCCAGAGGAAGCCCCGGCUAACUACGUGCCAGCAGCCGCGGUAAUACGUAGGGGGCAAGCGUUACUCGGAUUUAUUGGGUGUAAAGAGAAUUCAGGCGGUCAUGUAAGUCAGUGGUGAAAUCCCUCGGCUCAACUGAGGGAUUGCCUCUGAUACUGCGUGACUCGAGGACAGGAGAGGAAGGCGGAAUUCCCGGUGUAGCGGUGGAAUGCGUAGAUAUCGGGAGGAACACCUGAGGCGAAGGCGGCUUUCUGGACUGGUCCUGACGCUGAUAUUCGAAAGCUAGGGGAGCAAACAGGAUUAGAUACCCUGGUAGUCCUAGCUGUAAACGAUGGAUACUAGAUCUUGCAUGAUUUUGCUUGGUCGAAGCUAACGCGUUAAGUAUCCCGCCUGGGGAGUACGGUCGCAAGGCUGAAACUCAAAUGAAUUGACGG